CCUACGGGUGGCAGCAGUAGGGAAUCUUCGGCAAUGGACGAAAGUCUGACCGAGCAACGCCGCGUGAGUGAAGAAGGUUUUCGGAUCGUAAAACUCUGUUGGUAGAGAAGAACGUUGGUGAGAGUGGAAAGCUCAUCAAGUGACGGUAACUACCCAGAAAGGGACGGCUAACUACGUGCCAGCAGCCGCGGUAAUACGUAGGUCCCGAGCGUUGUCCGGAUUUAUUGGACGUAAAGCGAGCGCAGGUGGUCCUGCAAGUCUGGAGUGAAACGCAUGAGCUCAACUCAUGCAUGGCUUUGGAAACUGGAGGACUGGAGAGCAGGAGAGGGCGGUGGAACUCCAUGUGUAGCGGUAAAAUGCGUAGAUAUAUGGAAGAACACCAGUGGCGAAGGCGGCCGCCUGGCCUGUUGCUGACGCUGAGGCACGAAAGCGUGGGGAGCAAAUAGGAUUAGAUACCCCAGUAGUC
rnacentral:rRNA from 1 species